UGCUGCAAUGCACCAUGAGAGUUUGGGGUUUUAAAUGUUGUUAUUGUAGUUCAUGUUGGUUUAACAGUGUUGUUCGUGUUAUUGAUUUAUUGUGUUUUUGUAGUUCAGUUGCUUUAGUCAGUUUAAUUAAAUCUCAUGUUACCAUUACCAUGAAUGACUUGUUCUGCUCCCAG